AACCGCAAAGGGCUCAGUAAACCAGUUUUAAUUUACUAGAGUUUACACGUAACGUACGUGGAUACCUGUGGUAAUUCUAGAGCUAAUACAUGCAAUUAAGUCCGGACCAGAAAUGGAAAGGACGCUUUUAUUAGAUCAAAACCAUUCGCCCGACUUGUUUGGGCGUUGUUUUGGUGAAUCUAGAUAACACAUGAGAUCGUACAGUCAUCGUACUGACGACAUCUCUUUCAAACGCCUGACUUAUCAGCUGUCGAUGGUAGACUCUGUGUCUACCAUGGCCCUCACGGGUAACGGGGAAUCAGGGUUCGAUUCCGGAGAGGGAGCCUGAGAAACGGCUACCACAUCCAAGGAAGGCAGCAGGCACGCAAAUUACCCACUCCCGGCACGGGGAGGUAGUGACAAAAAAUAACGAUACGGGACUCUAUUGAGGCCCCGUAAUCGGAAUGAGUACACUUUAAAUCCUUUAACAAGGAUCCAUUGGAGGGCAAGUCUGGUGCCAGCAGCCGCGGUAAUUCCAGCUCCAAUAGCGUAUAUUAAAGUUGUUGCGGUUAAAAAGCUCGUAGUUGGUUCUGCGUGCCGCGCUGUCGGUUCGCCGCCUGUCGGUGUAACUGGCAUGUCGCGGCAUGUCCUGUCGGUGGUGAACGAGAUACCCGGUGCCGGCUAAGGUUUUUACAGCCGAAGUUGUGUGCCGUGCGUGUUCUCGUUUGCCGAAUUAUCCUACUCCGGUGCUCUUAAACGAGUGUCGAGGUAGGCCGACACGUUCACUUUGAACAAAUUAGAGUGCUUAAAGCAGGCUGAAAAUACUGCCUGAAUAGUGGUGCAUGGAAUGAUAAAAUAGGACCUCGGUUCUAUUUUGUUGGUUUUAGGAAUAUGAGGUAAUGAUCAAUGUGGACUGGCGGGGGCAUUCGUAUUGCGACGUUAGAGGUGAAA
rnacentral:rRNA from 1 species